CCUACGGGAGGCAGCAGUGAGGAAUAUUGGUCAAUGGGCGAGAGCCUGAACCAGCCAAGUCGCGUGAGGGAGUACUGCCCUAUGGGUUGUAAACCUCUUUUGUCGGGGUGAAAACGCCGGCCGUGUCCGGCUGUGAGAGUACCCGAAGCAAAAGCAUCGGCUAACUCCGUGCAGGCAGCCGCGGUAAUACGUGGGAUGCGAGCGUUAUCCGGAUUUUUUGGGUUAAAGGGGUGCGCAGGCGGUUUUUUACUUCAGCGGGCAAAUCGUGGGGCUCAACCCCCUGCAGCCGUUGAAACUGGGGGUCUAGAGUGUGCGAGAGGUAUGCGGAAUGCGUGGUGUAGCGGUGAAAUGCAUAGAUAUCACGCAGAACCCC
rnacentral:rRNA from 1 species